rnacentral:rRNA from 1 species
GACGAACCGUGCGAACGUUGUUCGGAUUCACUGGGCUUAAAGGGCGCGUAGGCGGGCGACCAAGUCGGGGGUGAAAUCUUUCGGCCCAACCGGAAAAGGGCCCCCGAUACUGGAUGCCUCGAGGGGGGUAGGGGCAUGCGGAACUUCCGGUGGAGCGGUGAAAUGCGUAGAUAUCGGAAGGAACGCCGGUGGCGAAAGCGGCGUGCUGGACCCCUUCUGACGCUGAGGCGCGAAAGCCAGGGGAGCAAACGGG